CCACUGCCGUCGCCGGAGAAUUCUGUGGAUCGCCGCUGCUGUUUGGGGCUGACUGCCGGGGCUGCCGCCGAACCGAUUCGGAGACCGCCGCUGUUUCGGUUCAGCCGUUCCUUCUUCGUUCGGUUAUUCUUUUUCAGGAUAUGGAAGACGAAGCUUCAGGAGAGUUAUGUUUAUUUUCUAUUUAUUCGGUCUUUUUGUAUCACCGUAGCUAUUAUUUUUCCCUCACCUUUAUCUUUAUGAAGCUUGUAAGAGGGAUAGGAAAUUAUGAUAUGUAUAAUUGUAAACUA